rnacentral:rRNA from 1 species
UAGGGAAUCUUCCACAAUGGACGCAAGUCUGAUGGAGCAACGCCGCGUGAGUGAAGAAGGGUUUCGGCUCGUAAAGCUCUGUUGUUAAAGAGGAACGUGGGUAAGAGUAACUGUUUACCCAGUGACGGUAUUUAACCAGAAAGCCACGGCUAACUACGUGCCAA